AUUUCAAACGGUUUCGCUUAGAGGAGAGCCUAAACCGGUCGGUGUCGAUUCAGACAUUUUGACGUCAUAUUCUCAUUGAGAAUUUGCUUCAUAUUUAAUGGCUUUACCAACUUAGACGUGUUUGACCACCAACCAGCUUACGCUGGAAACGAGGUCAGAUGCUGUGGCGUCAUUAGCGGGGGAGUCCUGGAGGCUCGUCGUCCAAUCACAAGCUACUUCGCGAUGUGAAGUAGAGCAUUGAGGUGGGCUGGUGGAAGGUCUGUCAGCGUCUUCAGCAGAGCACAAAGUUGAAUUUAGAGAUACAGUAUGGCGGCUUCAUUCUCAAGGGUCUCACAAAGACACAACAUAAAUCUCACAGAGAAACCACACACUGGGCUAUUGACUGCAGACAUGAAAACAUGAAUUUUCCAUUGAAAUUAUCAAAUGUUAAAAAAUAAAGCAAAAAAUGAAAAUAUGCUGAAAAUUUACUCCCCCCUCGUUUGGAGAAAUGUUUGGACUGGAGUAAUUAGUACAUGACUUGCUCACCAGCGGACCCUCUGCAGUGAAUGGGUGCCGUCAGAGUUCAAACAGCUGAUAAAAACAUCACACUAAUCCACAAGUAAUGCACACGAUUCCAGUCAAUCAAUUAAUGCUUUGUGAAGCUGCAUAUUUAUAAGCAACAAAUCCAUCGUUAAGCUUUAAUAACGCUUUCUCCAUAUUUAAUUAAAGCUGUUUUGUCUGUUUUUGCUUUUAAGAUGUGCUUGAUCUGUGCAUAUUUCUCAUCUGAUUCAAACGAGUUUACUUUUUCACUGGAGAAAGCAAUAUUAUUGAUGGAUUUGUUUGUGUGCAAAUUUAUCCCCCUUAAU